rnacentral:snRNA from 1 species
GCGGAGAUUGCAGACAACACCGC